rnacentral:rRNA from 1 species
CGCCUUAUACUCCUACGGGAGGCAGCAGUGGGGAAUUUUGGACAAUGGGGGCAACCCUGAUCCAGCAAUGCCGCGUGUGUGAAGAAGGUCUUCGGAUUGUAAAGCACUUUAAGUUGGGAGGAAGGGCAGUAAGUUAAUACCUUGCUGUUUUGACGUUACCAACAGAAUAAGCACCGGCUAACUUCGUGCCAGCAGCCGCGGUAAUACGAAGGGUGCAAGCGUUAAUCGGAAUUACUGGGCGUAAAGCGCGCGUAGGUGGUUCGUUAAGUUGGAUGUGAAAGCCCCGGGCUCAACCUGGGAACUGCAUCCAAAACUGGCGAGCUAGAGUAUGGCAGAGGGUGGUGGAAUUUCCUGUGUAGCGGUGAAAUGCGUAGAUAUAGGAAGGAACACCAGUGGCGAAGGCGACCACCUGGGCUAAUACUGACACUGAGGUGCGAAAGCGUGGGGAGCGAACAGGAUUAGAAACCCGGGUAGUCCACGUACCA